rnacentral:rRNA from 1 species
UACAGAGGAUGCAAGCGUUAUCCGGAAUGAUUGGGCGUAAAGCGUCUGUAGGUGGCUUUUUAAGUCCGCCGUCAAAUCCCAGGGCUCAACUCUGGACAGGCGGUGGAAACUACCAAGCUUGAGUACGGUAGGGGCAGAGGGAAUUCCCGGUGUAGCGGUGAAAUGCGCAGAUAUCGGGAAGAACACCCGUGGCGAAGGCGGCUCUCUGGGACGGUACUGACGCUGAGACGCGAAAGCGUGGGGAGCGAACAGG